rnacentral:rRNA from 1 species
UACGUAGGGGGCAAGCGUUGUCCGGAUUUAUUGGGCGUAAAGAGCGUGUAGGCGGCUUGGCAAGUCCGCUGUGAAAACUCGAGGCUCAACCUCGAGACGUCGGUUGAAACCGUACGGCUAGAGUCCGGAAGAGGAGAGUGGAAUUCCCGGUGUAGCGGUGAAAUGCGCAGAUAUCGGGAAGAACACCCGUGGCGAAGGCGGCUCUCUGGGACGGUACUGACGCUGAGACGCGAAAGCGUGGGGAGCAAACAGG